GACGAACGCUGGCGGCGUGCCUAAUACAUGCAAGUUGAGCGCUGAAGGUUGGUACUUGUACCGACUGGAUGAGCAGCGAACGGGUGAGUAACGCGUGGGGAAUCUGCCUUUGAGCGGGGGACAACAUUUGGAAACGAAUGCUAAUACCGCAUAAAAACUUUAAACACAAGUUUUAAGUUUGAAAGAUGCAAUUGCAUCACUCAAAGAUGAUCCCGCGUUGUAUUAGCUAGUUGGUGAGGUAAAGGCUCACCAAGGCGAUGAUACAUAGCCGACCUGAGAGGGUGAUCGGCCACAUUGGGACUGAGACACGGCCCAAACUCCUACGGGAGGCAGCAGUAGGGAAUCUUCGGAAAUGGACGAAAGGCUGACCGAGCAACGCCGCGUGAGUGAAGAAGGUUUUCGGAUCGUAAAACUCUGUUGGUAGAGAAGAACGUUGGUGAGAGUGGAAAGCUCAUCAAGUGACGGUAACUACCCAGAAAGGGACGGCUAACUACGUG
rnacentral:rRNA from 1 species